rnacentral:snRNA from 1 species
CAUUUCACUUGGCUGGGGAGAACUGUGAUCAGGCAGGUAGUUUUCCCAGGGUAAGGCUUACUCCAGGUGUGCUGAUUUCCCCAUAUGUGGGAAACUUCACUGCAUAAAACCUGUGGUAGUGGGAGAUCGUGUUUGCACUCUCCCCUU